rnacentral:rRNA from 1 species
AUACGGAGGGUGCAAACGUUGUUCGGAAUUACUGGGCGUAAAGCGCGCGUAGGCGGUUUGUUAAGUCAGAUGUGAAAGUCCACAGCUCAACUGUGGAAGUGCAUUUGAAACUGGCAGACUUGAGUACUGGAGGGGGUGGUGGAAUUCCCGGUGUAGAGGUGAAAUUCGUAGAUAUCGGGAGGAAUACCGGUGGCGAAGGCGACCACCUGGCCGGAUACUGACGCUGAGGUGCGAAAGCGUGGGGAGCAAACAGGAUUAGAAACCCUAGUAGUCC